GGCUCGUUGGUCUAGGGGUAUGAUUCUCGCUUUGGGUGCGAGAGGCCCCAGGUUCGAAUCCCGGACGAGCCC
rnacentral:tRNA from 1 species